AUUGAACGCUGGCGGCAGGCCUAACACAUGCAAGUCGAGCGGAUGAAGGGAGCUUGCUCCCGGAUUCAGCGGCGGACGGGUGAGUAAUGCCUAGGAAUCUGCCUGGUAGUGGGGGAUAACGUCCGGAAACGGGCGCUAAUACCGCAUGCGUCCUGAGGGAGAAAGUGGGGGAUCUUCGGACCUCACGCUAUCAGAUGAGCCUAGGUCGGAUUAGCUAGUUGGUGGGGUAAAGGCCUACCAAGGCGACGAUCCGUAACUGGUCUGAGAGGAUGAUCAGUCACACUGGAACUGAGACACGGUCCAGACUCCUACGGGAGGCAGCAGUGGGGAAUAUUGGACAAUGGGCGAAAGCCUGAUCCAGCCAUGCCGCGUGUGUGAAGAAGGUCUUCGGAUUGUAAAGCACUUUAAGUUGGGAGGAAGGGCAGUAAGUUAAUACCUUGCUGUUUUGACGUUACCAACAGAAUAAGCACCGGCUAACUUCGUG
rnacentral:rRNA from 1 species